UACCGCAUGUGUCUUCGGACUAAAGCCUUUCGGGGCGCUUUGGGAAUAGCCUGCGUAAGAUUAGCUAGUUGGUGAGGUAAUGGCUCACCAAGGCGACGAUCUUUAGCUGGUCUGAGAGGAUGACCAGCCAGACUGGAACUGAGACACGGUCCAGACUCCUACGGGAGGCAGCAGUAGGGAAUUUUCCACAAUGGGCGAAAGCCUGAUGGAGCAACGCCGCGUGCAGGAUGAAGGCCCUCGGGUCGUAAACUGCUUUUAUGUGCGAAGAAUAUGACGGUAACACAUGAAUAAGGGUCGGCUAACUACGUG
rnacentral:rRNA from 1 species